UCCGGUAUCUGUCCGCGGUCGACCUGAGGGAGUUUUACAUCGGCGUAAACGCGAAUAAGUGGCCUCGCCGCGCGCAAUCUCGUCGUUGUGGUUUCGCGCUGCGCGCCGUUUUCUGCUAAAGCGUGACCGAAGCGUUCGUAACGGAUGUUCGUACUCGAUUUUCGAAAUGAGCGGCUGCGCGACGCGAAAGUUAAAGCAAAAGAUGCGUCAUUAAGAUGCAUCGUUGCUCGUCGAACAUGUUGUCGUUGAUAAUUAAAUCGUAUCUCAAGUGCGAUAUGUUAAAGAUUGAUUAAGCGCAAUAUAUCCAGUAUAUUGUCUUUCUUAUGAAUAUAACAAAAUAUCAGUUGCAAUAAAAUUAAAUUGCGCGCACAGAGUUUAUCGAUGUGUAAGUGUGUUGGAGAUAGUAACUUGCAUCGCCAUGCAUCUUGAUUAUUAUGAUCGCCAACAGUUCCGUUCUCGACUGAGGCGAGCAGCCACACCUGAACGACCUUGAUGUGAUCAGUCAUCGACCAUCGAGAUGCGAGCACAUAUACGUAUAUUACGAUAGUAAUCUGCUCUGCUAUUUAUUUCCACACUAUAUAUACGUAUAUCCAUGCUUCGUCUCCAUUAACGCGGACAAUCUCUUGAAUUUUGGAGAAGGUUCUUUGGAGUAGAGUGUAUAUUUUCGAACGUGAUCAUUCUAAGGCGGGGUGAAAGAACGGGAUGAACGUAAGAUUCUUAUGCAUGUCACUAGAAGAAAAAAAGGAUACCGUAGAAAAAUACUUCAACGACCUGUUUGCCGGCUCGUAGUGAACAGACGGAAAUAUCAUUGCCACGCUCCCGGUAAAAAAAAUACGCUCCCAGAGAAUGCUUUUUCUACGCGUAGAGAAAUAUAUAGAAGAGGAUAAUAGAGAGGAAAAGAGAUGAAAGUACGGCAGACACAUGGCGCUACGCAAACGCCAGCACCGUAAACUGUCGGCGAUACGACUUGCACUUGGCGCGUUUAAUCCUUUCGCACGAUGGCUCAUCUGGCCACCAAGCGUGUUCCACUCUUCAUGCGAUGUUGCGAUGUAAAGUUCCGAAUACGCGAUUGAGAUUGCGUUGCAAACGGAAAAUUGGAACUUUCAUUAAUUUAAUAUAAUAAAUUAAUUUCAUCCUAAUUGCGAUGUGAUUAAACAGUCCAGUGCAAUACGGCGGUGUAAUUUAGUUUUUUUUUUUAAUUCGAGAGAAGAUUAAUUUAAUUUUCUCACUUUUAGGAGUAAUUUUGCUUUCAUUUAUGAAAAAGUGAAUUAAUUUAUUUGUUUAUUAUUGAAUUAGGUUUAUUGUUAUAUUGUUAAA